AACCGGUGAUUUCAGAUUUCCGACAAGUCUUUCUUAAUUUUUUGAUCAGUCAAAGAGAACAAAGCAAAUGAAAAUGAACAAUGACAAUUUGUUGCAGCACUCUAUUCAAUAUCGGAUUCCCCUUAUUCAAGCACCACUGUAAGCUAAGCUUUUUAGCGGGCACUGGUAUUGACUAAAUGCCUCUACUCAAUGUCAGAUUCCCCUUAUUCAAGCACAGUCAAG
rnacentral:lncRNA from 1 species